GAUGAACGCUGGCGGCGUGCCUAAUACAUGCAAGUCGAGCGAACGGACGAGAAGCUUGCUUCUCUGAUGUUAGCGGCGGACGGGUGAGUAACACGUGGAUAACCUACCUAUAAGACUGGGAUAACUUCGGGAAACCGGAGCUAAUACCGGAUGAUAUUUUGAACCGCAUGGUUCAAAAGUGAAAGACGGUCUUGCUGUCACUUAUAGAUGGAUCCGCGCUGCAUUAGCUAGUUGGUAAGGUAACGGCUUACCAAGGCAACGAUGCAUAGCCGACCUGAGAGGGUGAUCGGCCACACUGGAACUGAGACACGGUCCAGACUCCUACGGGAGGCAGCAGUAGGGAAUCUUCCGCAAUGGGCGGAAGCCUGACGGAGCAACGCCGCGUGAGUGAUAAAGGUCUUCGGAUCGUAAAACUCUGUUAUUAGGGAAGAACAUAUGUGUAAGUAACUGUGCACAUCUUGACGGUACCUAAUCAGAAAGCCACGGCUAACUACGU
rnacentral:rRNA from 1 species